GACGAACGCUGGCGGCGUGCCUAAUACAUGCAAGUUGAGCGCUGAAGGUUGGUACUUGUACCAACUGGAUGAGCAGCGAACGGGUGAGUAACGCGUGGGGAAUCUGCCUUUGAGCGGGGGACAACAUUUGGAAACGAAUGCUAAUACCGCAUAAAAACUUUAAACACAAGUUUUAAGUUUGAAAGAUGCAAUUGCAUCACUCAAAGAUGAUCCCGCGUUGUAUUAGCUAGUUGGUGAGGUAAAGGCUCACCAAGGCGAUGAUACAUAGCCGACCUGAGAGGGGGAUCGGCCACAUUGGGACUGAGACACGGCCCAAACCCCUACGGGAGGCAGCAGUAGGGAAUCUUCGGCAAUGGACGAAAGUCUGACCGAGCAACGCCGCGGGAGUGAAGAAGGGUGUCGGAUCGUAAAACUCGGUUGGUAGAGAAGAACGUUGGUGAGAGUGGAAAGCUCAUCAAGUGACGGUAACUACCCAGAAAGGGACGGCUAACUACGUG
rnacentral:rRNA from 1 species